rnacentral:rRNA from 1 species
GACGAACGCUGGCGGCGGGCUUAACACAUGCAAGUCGAACGGAAAGGCCCUGCGUUUUUGGGGUGCUCGAGGGGCGAACGGGUGAGUAACACGUGAGUAACCUGCCCUUGACUUUGGGAUAACUUCAGGAAACUGGGGCUAAUACCGUAUAGGAGCUCCUGCGGCAUGGUGGGGGUUGGAAAGUUUCGGCGGUUGGGGAUGGACUCGCGGCUUAUCAGCUUGUUGGUGGGGGAGCGGCGUACCAAGGCUUUGACGGGUAGGCGGCAUGAGAGCGUGACCGGCGACCUGGGGACUGCGAUACGGACCAGACGCCUACGGGGGACAGUAGUGGGGAAUAUUGCACAAUGGGCCGAAGUGUGAUGCAGCAACGUCGCGUGUGGGAUGACGGCCUUCGGGUUGUGAAAAGCUGUCGCCUGUGACGAAGCGUGAGUGACGGUAAUGAGUAAAGAAGCACCGGCUAACUUCGUG